rnacentral:rRNA from 1 species
UACGUAGGGUGCAAGCGUUGUCCGGAAUUAUUGGGCGUAAAGAGCUCGUAGGUGGCCUGUCGCGUCGGCUGUGAAAACUCGGGGCUCAACUCCGAGCUUGCAGUCGAUACGGGCAGGCUAGAGUUCGGCAGGGGAGACUGGAAUUCCUGGUGUAGCGGUGAAAUGCGCAGAUAUCGGGAGGAACACCGGUGGCGAAGGCGGUUCUCUGGGCCUGUACUGACGCUGAGGAGCGAAAGCGUGGGGAGCGAACAGG